rnacentral:rRNA from 1 species
AACGAACGCUGGCGGCAGGCUUAACACAUGCAAGUCGAACGUGAAGCCACCUUCGGGUGGUGGAAAGUGGCAGACGGGUGAGUAACGCGUGGGAAUCUACCUAAUGGUACGGAAUAACUCGGGGAAACUUGAGCUAAUACCGUAUGUGCCCGCAAGGGGAAAGAUUUAUCGCCAUUAGAUGAGCCCGCGUCGGAUUAGCUAGUUGGUGGGGUAAUGGCCCACCAAGGCGACGAUCCGUAGCUGAUCUGAGAGGAUGAUCAGCCACACUGGGACUGAGACACGGCCCAGACUCCUACGGGAGGCAGCAGUGGGGAAUAUUGGACAAUGGGCGAAAGCCUGAUCCAGCUAUGCCGCGUGAGUGAUGAAGGCCCUAGGGUUGUAAAGCUCUUCCGACGGGGACGAUAGUGACGGUACCCGUAGAAGAAGCCCCGGCUAACUUCGUGCCAGCAGCCGCCGUAA